GUUUCCCAACGUAAUUCGCUUUUCCUUCGUUUGAUCUGAGCUACUUUGCUUGGCUUCUCAAAGUCUCGCGCCUCUGUUCUAAGUUCUAACAUCGACCUUCUUCAAUUCUGUUUCCUUCUUGUUCUGACUGUUAUUUUUUAUAUUUCCGGAAGCACCCCAUGUCGCCAAAAUCCCGAGAUGUUUGUAUUGUUGGUGUUGCAAGGACUCCAAUGGGGGAUCUACUUGGCAACCUAUCAUCAAU